rnacentral:rRNA from 1 species
ACGGAGCAAUACCGCGUGGGGGAGGAAGGCCCUUGGGUUGUAAACCCCUUUUGUCAGGGAAGAACACAAUGACGGUACCUGACGAAUCAGCCUCGGCUAACUCCGUGCCAGCAGCCGCGGUAAGACGGAGGAGGCAAGCGUUAUCCGGAUUUAUUGGGCGUAAAGCGUCCGCAGGUGGCUAUGCAAGUCUGCUGUUAAAGCGUCUAGCUCAACUAGAUAAAAGCAGUGGAAACUACAAGGCUAGAGUGCGGUAGGGGCAGAGGGAAUUCCUGGUGUAGCGGUGAAAUGCGUAGAGAUCAGGAAGAACAUCGGUGGCGAAGGCGCUCUGCUAGGCCGCAACUGACACUGAGGGACGAAAGCUAGGGGAGCG